rnacentral:rRNA from 1 species
GGAAGAUUGGCACACUAAUUUGCCCAUCUGCUCCAAGGCAAGUUUGUUAAACAAAGAAAAACAUUGAACAUGGCAGGCUGCACUUUAGGGGGCUGAGGGCACCCUAAACUGCAGGGGAAUUUUGUAAUGGUAAGGGGGUGCACCUCUCCAUCCCCGCAAAUGGACGGUCAGGUGUCCCUUCCUAGGAGUAGAUAUCUGCACCCACGGAGGGCUGCAUGACAUGGCCCCAUUUUAUUGUGGCUGGGGGGGAGGUUUGCUACCACCCGUUCCCAUUGGAAAAUUCCAUGGUGGUUUGGGGUGCCCCACAGCCCCCCUAAAAUGUUGUCUACCACUUUUUUCCUGAGUUUACCCAACUUGCAUUGGCACAUAUGGGCACAAUAGUGUGCCAGUCUGCCUCCAUGGUGCCCAAAACCCACUGCCCCACCCAUUGGGGGCGCCUGUCUGACAUUUUAUGGUGGCCUUCUCCCCCCUAACCCCAAAUGGGUGGGAGGGCACCUCAUGUAGGCCUCCCUGGGCCUUCCACGAACGAAUGUGUGAGGUACACCCCUCCAUUUGGGCUGGGGGGACAGGGCCACCAAAAAAUGUGGGACAGGCCCUCCAUUGGGUGGGGCAGUAAGGUUUGGGCACCCUGGGGGCAGAUUGGCACACCAAUAUGCCCAUCUGUGCCAAGGGAAGUUUGGUAAACAAAGAAAACUAUUGAAAAUGGCAGGCUGCACUUUAGGGGGGCUGAGGGGCACCUUAAACCGCCGGGGAAGUUUGUAAUGUGAAGGGGGGUGCACCUCUCCACACACAAUGGCACAAUGAAGGUGAGGGCCGGUGCGCAGUGGCGGGCGCACCACCGGUCCAUCUCGCCCGCUCUGUCUGGGAGUUGGAGCAUGAGCGUGUGUAAUAGGACCUGACAGAUAGUGAACUAUGCCUGGGCAGGGUGAAACCAGAGGAAACUCUGGUGGAGGUCCUAGCAAUCCUGAUGUGCAAAUCGGUCAUCCGACCUGGGUAUAGGGGCGAAAGACUAAUUGAACCAUCUAGUAGCUGGUUCCCUCUGAAGUUUCCGUCAGGAUAGCUGGCGCUCGAAACCCCAGUUUUAGCUGGUAAAGCGAAUGAUUAGAGGUCUUGGGGCCGAAACGAUCUCAACCUAUUCUCAAACUUUAAAUGGGUAAGAAGCCCAGCAUCAAAUGCGAAUGCCCAGUAGGCCCCUUUUGGUAAGCAGAACUGGCGCUGUGGGAUGAACUGAACGUCGGGUUAAGGCACCUGAUGCCGAUGCUCAUAAGACCCCAGAAAAGGUGUUGGUUGAUAUAGACAGUAGGACGGUGGCCAUAGAAGUCGGAAUCCGCUAAGGAGUGUGUAACAACUCACCUGCCGAAUCAAUUACCCCUGAAAAUGUAUGGCGCUGGAGCAUCGGACCCAUACCCGAAUAUCGCCGGCGCUGAGAGUCACGGGGGCUAAGCCGCGACGAGUAGGGGGACCGCUGCAGUGUACACGGAAGCCCGGGGCGAGGGUGGUGGGUGAGGGUGGUGGUAGUAGCAAAUAUUCAAAUGAGAAUUUUGAAGGCUGAAGUGGCGAGGGGUUCCAUGUGAACAGCAGUUGAACUGCAGUUGAACAUGGGUCAGUCGGUCCUAAGAGAUGGGUGGGUGCCAUUCGGAAGGGAUGGGCAAUGGCCUCCAUUGCCCUCAGCCGAUUGAAAGGGAGUCAGGUUCAGAUCCCUGAACCCCGAGUGGCAGAGACGGGCACCCUCGCGGCAUCCAGUGCGCUAACGCAAACAAUCCCAGAGAAGCCGUUGGGAGCCCCAGGGAGAGUUCUCUAUUCUUUGUGAAAGUCAGUGCACCCUGGAAUGGGUUCACCCCAAGAGAGGGGCCGGAGCCUUGGAAAGCGUCAUGGUUCCGGCAGCGUCUGGUGAGCUCUCGCUGGUCCUUGAAAAUCCGGGGGAGAUGGUGUAAAUCUUGUGCUGGGCAGUACCGAUAUCCACAGCAGGUCUCCAAAGUGAACAGCCUCUGGCAUGUUGGAACAAUGUCGGCAAGUCAGAUCCGUAACUUUGGGAUAAGGAUUGGCUCUAAGGGCUGGGCCGGUCGGACUGGGGCACGAAGCGGGGCUGGGCGUGCGCCGCAGCUGGACGAGGCAUCUCCCCUCCGGGGGCAACGCCGACUCUGGACACGAGCCAGGCCCUUCCUUUGGAUCUCCCAGCUGCGGUGGUCAGGUUUCUCCAUUCCGCUCCGGUGUUCGGGUCGGCGUUUGCUCAGUCGAUCCUAGCAGCUGACUUAGAACUGGUGUGGACCAUGGGAAUCCGACUGUUAAUCAAAACAAAGCAUCGCGAAGGCCCCCGGUGGGUGUUGACGCAAUGUGAUUUCUGCCCAGUACUCUGAAUGUCAAAGUGAAGAAAUUCAAUGAAGCACGGGAAAACGGCAGGAGUAAUUAUGACUCUCUUAAGGUAGCCAAAUGCCUGGUCAUCUAAUUAGUGGUGUGCAUGAAUGGAUGAACGAGAUUACCACUUUCCCUACCUAGUAUCUAGUGAAACCACAGCCAAGGGAACAGGCUUGGCAGAAUCCACAGAUAAAGAAGACCAUGCUGGCACUGUGAAGAGACAUGAGAAGUGUAGGGUAAGUUGGAGGCCCUCGGGCCACUGGUGAAAUUGUUUUUACACUACUAUUGUUUUUUUACUUAGCUGGUGAGGCGGGGGCGAGCCCCGUGGGGCUCCCGCUUCUGGCUCCAAGCACCUAGUGCCUGCCGGGCACGACCCGAUCCGGGGACAGUGGCAGGUGGGGAGUUUGACAGGGGCGGUACACCUGUCAAACGAUAAUGCAGGUGUCGUAGGGCGAGCUCAAGCAGGACAGAAACCUCCCAUGGAACAGAAGUGCAAAAGCUCGCUUAUCUCGAUUUUCAGUAUCAAUACAGAUAGUGAAAGCAGGGGCCUCGCGAUCCUUCUGACUUUUUGGGUUUCAAGCAGGAGGUGUCAGAAAAGUUACCACAGGGAAAACUGAUUUGUGGCAGCCAAGCGUUCAUAUCGACGUCGCUUUUUGAUCCUUCGAUGUCGGCUCUUCCUAUCAUUGUGAAGCAGAAUUCACCAAGCGUUGGAUUGUUCACCCACUAAUAGUGAACGUGAGCUGGGUUUAGACCGUCGUGAGACAGGCUAGUUUUACUCUACUGAUGAUGUGUUGUUGCAAUAGUUAUCUUGCUCAGUACGAGAGGAACCGCAGGUUCAGACAUUUGGUGUAUGUGCUUGGCUGAGGAGCCAAUGGGGCGAAGCUACCAUCUGUGGAAUUAUGACUGAAUGCCUCUAAGUCAGAAUCCCCCCUAAACCGUGACGAUACCGCAGCGCUUUGGGGCCUUGGUUGGCCUAGGAUGGCCGGCCUCUGGGCCGGUGCGUAGAGAUGCUCGCCUCGGGACUCGAGUGUGGACAGAAGGGGGCCACCACUCUCGCCCGUAGUGCACCGCAUGUUCGUGGGGAACCUGGUGCUAAAUCAUUCGUAGGCAAGCUGAUUCUGGGGGUCAGGGUUUCGUAAGUAGCAGAGUAGCUACCUCGCUGCGAUCUAUUGAAAGACAUCUUCUGAG